UUUCUUUGAAGGUCCUAUUCACUAAAACUUCUUACUGCCAAUUUCUCACUCUAUCAUAAUUUAUCCAAGUUAUAAAGUGAGUUUUGUUUUGAUCUAGUUUCCUAACUUUGCACACUAUUUACCUGGAACCACAGAGUAAAUCCCAGGUUAGAUUUAAGUCCACUUACAGAGUUCAAAAUCUCAGGUCAUUACUGAGAGUCAAGGGUACAGCAAGAAUUUUUACCUCAGUGGACAUUUCAGCAGUCUCAGAUAUGGUUGAUUAUACACUGCUGAUAGAUGUGGCUAAUUACAUUGUCAUCACUAUGUUGAUAAGUUUUGAUUUCUAUGGGUCUAGCUAGCAUAAACCUGUCCCUAGAAGAGUAUUUCACAAAAUGUCUUGAAACUAACCUCAAACCCUGGUUUUAGAUCUACUCAAUCAAAGCAAUUUGAUCACUGAGGGAUUUUUAAGAAAAAGAGAAUGAGAAAUCUACUGUUGCCUCUCACCACACCCUUUCCAUUAGAAGUCAUGGAUUUGAAACAAAAUUUCAAGGUAACGAAUUUUCCAAAUAAGUAGGUUGCACAAUCAGCUCUCAAUUCAUGCCAUGAUAAUA
rnacentral:lncRNA from 1 species